AUUGAACGCUGGCGGAAUGCUUUACACAUGCAAGUCGAACGGCAGCACGGACUUCGGUCUGGUGGCGAGUGGCGAACGGGUGAGUAAUACAUCGGAACGUGCCCAGUCGUGGGGGAUAACGUAGCGAAAGCUACGCUAAUACCGCAUACGAUCUACGGAUGAAAGCGGGGGAUCGCAAGACCUCGCGCGAUUGGAGCGGCCGAUGGCAGAUUAGGUAGUUGGUGGGGUAAAGGCUCACCAAGCCGACGAUCUGUAGCUGGUCUGAGAGGACGACCAGCCACACUGGGACUGAGACACGGCCCAGACUCCCGCGGGAGGCAGCAGUGGGGAAUUUUGGACAAUAGGCGCAAGCCUGAUCCAGCCAUUCCGCGUGCAGGAUGAAGGCCCUCGGGUUGUAAACUGCUUUUGUACGGAACGAAAAGGCCCUGGUUAAUACCUGGGGCUCAUGACGGUACCGUAAGAAUAAGCACCGGCUAACUACGUGCCAGCCGCCGCCGUAA
rnacentral:rRNA from 1 species